GAUGAACGCUGGCGGCGUGCCUAAUACAUGCAAGUCGAGCGAACAGACGAGGAGCUUGCUCCUCUGACGUUAGCGGCGGACGGGUGAGUAACACGUGGAUAACCUACCUAUAAGACUGGGAUAACUUCGGGAAGCCGGAGCUAAUACCGGAUAAUAUAUUGAACCGCAUGGUUCAAUAGUGAAAGACGGUUUUGCUGUCACUUAUAGAUGGAUCCGCGCCGCAUUAGCUAGUUGGUAAGGUAACGGCUUACCAAGGCAACGAUGCGUAGCCGACCUGAGAGGGUGAUCGGCCACACUGGAACUGAGACACGGUCCAGACUCCUACGGGAGGCAGCAGUAGGGAAUCUUCCGCAAUGGGCGAAAGCUUGACGGAGCAACGCCGCGUGAGUGAUGAAGGCCUUCGGAUCGUAAAACUCUGUUAUUAGGGAAGAACAAAUGUGUAAGUAACUAUGCACGUCUUGACGGUACCUAAUCAGAAAGCCACGGCUAACUACGUG
rnacentral:rRNA from 1 species